AUACGGAGGGGGCUAGCGUUGUUCGGAAUUACUGGGCGUAAAGCGCGCGUAGGCGGCUUAUCAAGUUAGGCGUGAAAGGCCUGGGCUCAACCCGGGAACUGCGCUUAAUACUGGCAGACUUGAGUCCGGGAGAGGGUGGCGGAAUUCCCAGUGUAGAGGUGAAAUUCGUAGAUAUUGGGAAGAACACCAGUGGCGUAGGCGGCCACCUGGCCCGGUACUGACGCUGAGGUGCGAAAGCGUGGGGAGCAAACAGGAUUAGAAACCCCGGUAGUCC
rnacentral:rRNA from 1 species